UACGUAGGGGGCGAGCGUUGUCCGGAUUUAUUGGGCGUAAAGAGCUCGUAGGCGGCCGUUCGCGUCGGAUGUGAAAGCUCAGGGCUCAACCCUGAGACGCCAUUCGAUACGGGACGGCUAGAGGCAGGUAGGGGAAAGUGGAAUUCCUGGUGUAGCGGUGAAAUGCGCAGAUAUCAGGAGGAACACCGGUGGCGAAGGCGGCUUUCUGGGCCUUACCUGACGCUGAGGAGCGAAAGCUGGGGGAGCGAACAGG
rnacentral:rRNA from 1 species